CAACCGCGCGCGCCGAGGAGCCUCGCGCCUUCUCCCCGCUAGAUGGCAGUAGGCGCUCGGCGCUGCGACCCCGGCCGCGGAGUAGGGCGCAAGCCUCGCGCGCCCAGCGCUGGGCCCUUCCGCAACCGCCGCGAGCCCCGGAGGCGGGGCCUGGGAUGGCGUGUCUCCACCCGGGAUCCCGACGAGUUGAUUAUUUUCCAUUGACAAUAUGAUGACCAUGAAGGGACCAGAGAUGAACCUGAGAUCUUCUGAGGGGUCGCUUUGAACCUGGUACAUGUGCCCUCUCCGACUCCAAGCCUCUCCUGGGGGAGAUUCGUCCUUUCCAGAGGGCCUGGGGGAGCCACAACCACAGAUGCCGACAGACCUUUUUCACCCAUUAGCAACGGGAUUCUUCCUACAUCCUGCCCUUGGCAUACUAUUGGAGUAUCUUCGUGAUGUAUAUUAAGCCUCCUUAUCUCUGUUAAAGUACAUUCCUUUCUGAUCUCAGCAACCUUCCU